GCAGUAGCCGCUUAAUCUAAGCCGGCUACCGUUCCUCCUCGCUUUCGUCCGUGAGGUUAGAAGGAACGUUAUUUAAACGGACUGGUCUGGCGUGUGUGUUCCGGACGCGUCGGGUGAGAACAAUCGGGACUGGCCCGGGUCGAAUCCUGUUUCUGGGAGCUGGCUUGGGUGAGAUUCAAAACAGAAACUAAACAUGUAGAUACCUUCGAUUGAAACCUUUCGGACGGGGGUUCGAUUCCCCCCGCCUCCACCA
rnacentral:tmRNA from 1 species